ACAUCUUUUCUUGUUAGUUUCUGAAGUAUGGCCUGCCCGCUGACGUAUUUUGAGUUGAAGGGCCGCGGUAUUUUGACCGUGCAAAGGUAGCAUAGUCAUUAGUUCUUUAAUUGUGAUCUGGUAUGAAUGGCUUGACGAGACAUAGGCUGUCUUAGUGUGAAUUUAUUGUUGAAUUUGGAGUUUAAGUUAAAAUUCUUAGAUGUUUUUAUGGGACGAGAAGACCCUAUAGAGUUUUACAUUUGAUUGUGCAUUUCUUGUUGUUUGUUUUAGGUUUUUGCGUGUCUUUUGUUUUGUUGGGGUGAUGGGAGGAAUUUAUUUAACUCCUCUUUUUAUGUGAUAUAUUGAUUUAUGUUUGUUUUGAUCCAUUUAUUUUGAUUGUAAGACUAAAUUACCUUAGGGAUAACAGCGUUAUCCUCCCUGAGAGUUCUUAUUGGCGGGGGGGUUUGCGACCUCGAUGUUGGAUUAAGGUUUAUUUU
rnacentral:rRNA from 1 species